rnacentral:rRNA from 1 species
AUUGAACGCUGGCGGCAGGCCUAACACAUGCAAGUCGAACGAGUGGCGGACGGGUGAGUAAUGUCUGGGAAACUGCCUGAUGGAGGGGGAUAACUACUGGAAACGGUAGCUAAUACCGCAUACCAUCGGAUGUGCCCAGAUGGGAUUAGCUAGUAGGUGGGUUAAAGGCUCACCUAGGCGACGAUCCCUAGCUGGGCUGAGAGGAUGAACAGCCACACUGGAACUGAGACACGUUCCAGACUCCUACGUGAGGCAGCAGUUGGGAAUAGUGCACAAUGGGCGAAAGACUGACGCAGCCAUGCCGCGUGUAUGAAGAAGGCCUGCGGGUUGUAAAGUACUGUCAGCGGGGAGGAGUUACCCGCAGAAGAAGCACCGGCUAACUCCGUGCCAGCAACCGCGGGAAUUC